rnacentral:tRNA from 1 species
GGGCUCUUGGCACAGUUGGUAGCGCGCACGCUUCGCAUAAUGAUUGCGUGAGGUCGUGGGUUCAAUUCCCACAGUGUCCA